GACGAACGCUGGCGGCGUGCUUAACACAGAAUGAAGCAACGAGUGGCGAACGGGUGAGUAACGCGUAAUCAACCUGCCCUUCCGAGGGGGACCACAUUUGGAAACGAAUGCUAAUACCUAAUACUGUGAGAGAGCUUUGCGUCCCAUUAGCUAGUUGGAGAGGUAACGGCUCACCAAGGCGAUGAUGGGUAGCCGGCCUGGUAGGGUGAUCGGCCACAAGGGGACUGGGACACGGCCCUUACUCCUACGGGAGGCAGGAGUGGGGAAUAUUGGACAAUGGACCAAAGUCUGAUCCAGCAAUUCUGUGUGCAAGAUGAAGUUUUCGGAAUGUAAAGUGCUUUCAGUUGGGAAGCGGUACCAACAGAAGAAGUGACGGCUAAAUACGUGCCAGCAGCCGCGGUAAUAC
rnacentral:rRNA from 1 species